CCUACGGGAGGCAGCAGUGAGGAAUAUUGGGCAAUGGGCGCAAGCCUGACCCAGCCACGCCGCGUGAAGGAAGAAGGCUCUCGGGUUGUAAACUUCUUUUGUCAGGGAAGAGUAGAAGACGGUACCUGACGAAUAAGCCACGGCUAACUACGUGCCAGCAGCCGCGGUCAUACGGAGGUGGCAGGCGUUGUCCGGAUUUACUGGGUGUAAAGGGCGUGUAGCCGGGUUGACAAGUCAGAUGUGAAAACUUGCGGCUUAACCGCAGACCGGCAUUUGAAACUGGUGAUCUUGAGUAGUGGAGAGGCAGGCGGAAUGCGUAGUGUAGCGGUGAAAUGCGUAGAUAUUAGGCAGAACACCAGUGGCGAAGGCAGUCUACUGGA
rnacentral:rRNA from 1 species